AACCUACAAAAAUCAGCCUUUCCUUGCAGCAUCUCUUUUUGGACCCUCUCUCCCUUCUCGUGUAGGUUUGUGGUGGCAGCACCGUGGCCCUUCCCAGCAAACCUGGGAUGUAACGGCGAUGCCGCAGCCCCCGGACAGCCCAGGGCUCGCUCGGCCCCUGGCUCCGGCUGCACAGAGGCUUCGGUGGAGACUGGAGACGGGGAUCUGCAUUGCGAAUAUUCGGCUGCGGCUGCCAUCUGGCUGCUGAGAGGGCUCUUGCACGGGCAGCAUGCAUCCCGCCAUGGCCAGGAUUGUUCAGGCAGACACCGGGGAGGCUGCGCUCCCCCCAGUCUGGUAACGGCUCCUCUUCCUCCCCCCGAUCUGGUAACGGCUCCUUUUCCAAGGCUCAGGUGGGUGCUGAAAGGUUGCAGCAAGAUGCCGAGUAACGCUUGUGACAUGGUGUCCGGCUAGGACAACACUAUUGAUUUGGAGUUGGCCAGCCUGGAUGCCACGCAGAGAGCACCAGGCAACCCCCUCUGAUGCUCCCCUGUCCUCUCGAGGACAAGUCCUUCCAUAUUUCCAGCCAGAACCUCUCUUUCAGCUGUAAUCUUCCAGCACCCACCUGCCACCAGUCCCCAACCUCCCCCUCGAACAAAUUUCCUGGGGUUUACAGGCUACUAACUGCUCCUGAUGAAUGGUAGGAUAUUGCAAAUCUAAACAGGGCUGAGUCAAAUGGGUAAUUAUCAGUCUUUUUUCUCACACUGGGGUUUUUUUUUGCCUUGUGAUGAUGAUUUCUGCUGUCAGAGACAAGAUGCUGCAGGUCUUGGAGGCACUGGGGCAGGUUCAGUCCUCGUUGCACUGCCUGUGAAAUUAAGUGGGUCACAAAAAAAUUAGUUGGACAGAUUCAAGCAGCAAAGACCUGCGGAGAGGUCAUCCUGGCAAACCACUCAGGGCAUGGUACACAGCCUGGGCUUUGACUCUGUCCAUUUUGCUGGAAAUAAGUUGCUGUUGCUUAUCCUGAUGUUUGAUUGUGUUUUAUUAAGGAAUGUAAACAAAUUAUUUCUGCUCAGAAACAUCAGAACCAGAAAAGCAUUAUUAGCAGACGUAUAGUAUUGCCCUUUCUUAACAGGUAUUUCUGCCUCUUAGUUGAGGCUUGGAAGGAAUACUCGUAAUGAAGGAGGAGUUCUAAC
rnacentral:lncRNA from 1 species